AGAAACUGAGGCAAUUAAUGGUUACAAGACUUGGGUGUUCAGAAAAGAGCAGUAUGGUGUGAGGGCUGCUAAGCCCUUUGGUGUUCACCUGACCCACUUAACUCUCACCUGUGGUUCCAAGAAACUGUAGCAUGCAAAGUGGCCACACCUCAGUGAACCGUUUUGGUAGACAGACUAAACCAAGUUGAGGGUCCUGCCACUGGACAACGAUGGCUUUAGAAAAGAGAGUAAGACCGAGGACUUCGUGCAACUCCGUCUGCCUCACUUAAAUUCAAUUUACGCAUGAAUCAAAAAAAGCUAUUUCACAAGAGGAAAUGAGUCUCAUGAUUGGGGCACAAUUGAAAAUCCAACUGCCUUUUCAUGGAUUCAAGUAGAACAUGCUAUACAAAAAGGAAUGGUUAAGAAAAUGAACCUACCAAAUAAGCUUUUAUGUAAGUCUACAUAAAGCUACAGCACAGAAGAGGAAGCUGAGCCCCAGAGGAGUAAAAUCUAAUCAUACAAAGAUGUGACUUUCCUGCUUAAAGGCUCUGCAGUGGUAUGUGAGGAGAGUCAUCCAGCUUGUCAACUUGUUUCCCAGACUAUUCAGCCAAAAACCCACGGGGAAAAACUAUCCUGAAAUCUCAGACUAGUCAGAAGCUGAGCUCAAGGAACACGCAAUUCUGAUUUGUUCUUUCCAAAUUGGAACUAUACUCUGUGAACUUCCUUGAACAGUUUAUCACAUAGUUCUAUCAAAGAAGCAAUGCUCAUAGUUUCAGGUGCCAUGUGCUUGAAGAGUGAAACAAAAAUAAUUUUUUAAAAAAGCCUUCAAGUCUUUUCCAAUAUGUUUUCCACUCCCUGUCCAGACUCCCCCCUCAAUCUUCAGUCUCCUACCUUUAUAAACAUAAUUCAUCCAUAACCUAAGGUGGGAAAAAUCAGAUUUUAUUCCAUUUACUCUCAUUAUCAAAUUUAUAUUCAAUUGGGGAUUUUUAAAAUAACUCAUCAAGAUUUUCUUUAAAUUCUUCUCUAUUUAAAAACAACAACAACAACAACAACAAACCCCACCCAGAAAUGGUAUUGGGGCAACCCUUCCACUGGAAAAAAUGGAGGAAAGCAUGAUAGAAUGCAAAUAACACUAAUCUGAGAUUCGGAAAAUUUAGGUUCUAGUUCUCAGUCCCAUCAGAGACCUUAGACAAGUUCUAAAAACGAUCAAGAUUUCAGACCAGCUCCCCCUUUUACAAAUAUGCAAAUCCAGUGGCCACCUCAUUGUCCCCACAAAUGACAUGGGCAGAAUUGAGCCCAGGUCCUCUUCAAUACUGGAAGCUCCUUCUGCAAGACUACACUAAGGAACUCUGCUCUCUCUUGGUCUUUGUUCCCUCAUCUGUAAAAAAUAAAAUAAAAAGUUUUACUCUG